UACGAAGGGGGCUAGCGUUGUUCGGAUUUACUGGGCGUAAAGCGCACGUAGGCGGAUCUUUAAGUCAGAGGUGAAAUCCCAAGGCUCAACCUUGGAACUGCCUUUGAUACUGGGUAUCUCGAGUCCGGAAGAGGUGAGUGGAAUUCCGAGUGUAGAGGUGAAAUUCGUAGAUAUUCGGAGGAACACCAGUGGCGAAGGCGGCUCACUGGUCCGGUACUGACGCUGAGGUGCGAAAGCGUGGGGAGCAAACAGG
rnacentral:rRNA from 1 species